rnacentral:hammerhead_ribozyme from 1 species
AUCCAGCUGACGAGUCACAAACAGGGCGAAACGCGUCUUGUCCUGGAU